rnacentral:rRNA from 1 species
CCUACGGGAGGCAGCAGUGAGGAAUAUUGGUCAAUGGCCGCAAGCCUGAACCAGCCAAGUAGCGUGAAGGAUGACUGCCCUACGGGUUGUAAACCUCUUUUAUGCGGGGAUAAAGUUGUCCACGUGUGCCUGUUUGUAUGUACUGUAUGAAUAAGGAUCGGCUAACUCCGUGCCAGCAGCCGCGGUAAUACGGAGGGUCCGAGCGUUAUCCGGAUUUAUUGGGUUUAAAGGGAGCGUAGAUGGGUUGUUAAGUCAGUUGUGAAAGUUUGCGGCUCAACCAUAAAAGUGCAACUGAUACUGGAAGCCUUGAGUGCAGUUGAGGUAGGCGGAAUUCGUGGUGUAGCGGUGAAAUGCUUAGAUAUCACGAAGAACUCCGAUUGCGAAGGCAGCUUACUAAACUGUUACUGACAUUGAUGCUCGAAAGUGUGGGUAUCAAACAGGAUUAGAUACCCUAGUAGUC